rnacentral:rRNA from 1 species
AUUGAACGCUGGCGGUAGGCCUAACACAUGCAAGUCGAGCGCCCAGCAAUGGGAGCGGCAGACGGGUGAGUAACGCGUGGGUAUCUACCUAGUGGUGCGGAAUAGCCCAGGGAAACUUGGAGUAAUACCGCAUAAGCCCGAAAGGGGAAAGAUUUAUCGCCAUUAGAUGAGCCCGCGUUGGAUUAGCUAGUUGGUGGGGUAACGGCCCACCAAGGCGACGAUCCAUAGCUGGUCUGAGAGGAUGAUCAGCCACACUGGGACUGAGACACGGCCCAGACUCCUACGGGAGGCAGCAGUGGGGAAUAUUGGACAAUGGGCGCAAGCCUGAUCCAGCCAUGCCGCGUGAGUGACGAAGGUCUUCGGAUUGUAAAGCUCUUUUGGUCGGGGACGAUAAUGACGGU